GUUUAAAAGACGUUUUUCGAAAACCGACUGUUUUUCCAAUGGAUUUUCCAAUUGAAAGGUUUUAAAACUAGACAUUUUGCCACCCUCGCCAAAUUCCUUCGUUCCGUUGAAGAGAAAGAAUAAAUGAAAAAUAUACGACAAUAACCGCUCAGUUAACUACAGAAUAUACCAAAUUACAGUCAACAACAAAACAAUGGAGUGCAGUUGCUCAAAGGUUCUCUGGUUUGCUGGAGUAUCGUGCUUCAUAUUUGGGGUCGUUUUUGACUGGAUAAAUUUUGAGGGACUGCGUCGAAAUGACAUCGAGAUAGAAGGGACUUGAAACAAAGCUUGUGACUUUGCAUUGAAUGAAUACCACUGGAUUUUUAUGGUGUCUGUUAUAUGCAAAAUGCUGUCCGGCUGUUUGGAAUAUUUGUUUGGAAUCAUUUCUAUAAGGAAAGGAGGAAUAGAAAAAAAUACAUAUGGCACUCUAUCUUUAUUAUUCAGUGUGAUAACCUCAUGUUUUCAAGUAGCAGAUCUACUACUACUGGUACUAUUUUCAUACAAAUGCUUAGACAAGGAAAAGAGACAUCAUGUUCUUCGUUUUUUAGGUGACGAUACAGAUGAUGCCAUAGCAAGUAUUUUUGGCACAGCUGGUAUAAUAUUCAACUUAACCAUCAAAAGAAACAUUUUAGAUAUUCUAAAGGCAUUGUGUGAACCUUGUCCAGAUGAUCAUCUUGGUUGGCUUAAGAUUUUGUCAAUCCUCUCUUUAAUUUUGAUUUUCGUGUGUGUUGGUCUUGCGAUUGCUUUAGUGAUAAGACUGUUUUAAUGGUAAACCAGAUGUUUGUGGAAUUAUGACAAUGAAUAUGGAUCUUAGAUAUAUCAUUUUAUUUAUUUUCGCUAUCUGACAAUCCACUUUGACAGUAUUAUAGAUUACCUAAUUAUUUAUUAUCUUCGUACAUUUAUAAAUUGUUUUCUUAGCUUGUAGCCUGAUAUUUUAUAUAAGCUUUCAAACUAAAUAAUAUUUAUGUAUUUCUUUAAGAAAAUAUUUUAAUUGACAGAUAAACAUGUUCAUUUUUGUUGAUUUAUCUUAUUAAUAAUCAACAUGAAUUCUUAAAUAUUGCUUCUGUAUUCUGUGUAUUAAACCCCUUGUACAAUGGUAUAUAUUUCAUAUUAUAUCAUAAAAGACCAUAAAUAACAAAAAUAUGUCAAUAAUAUACAUGUACAAAGAUGAGUAAUAAAAAGAGUCAUUGAGUU